AGCCUUCCCUGCAGCUGGAGUGUGCAGUCAGUUCACAACAUAGCUUUCUCUAUGGGCAUCUGCAAAACACCUUCCUUGGUUCUCUUUUCCCCAUCUUCUUUCUCCUCUGAUUAAGUGGUACAUAACCAUCCUGCGAUCAUCAAAAUGACUUUAUGGCUCAAGAAAGGAGGAGGCAAACCUUGAUGCAUCCAGUUUCCCAGGGAUCUAGAAGACCCCUGCACCAUGGCAGGACUUUUGUUCCUGCACUUUUAAUUCGAAAGAAAGGUAUGUCCAUCUGAGAGUGUCAGAUCUUGGAAUCAGUUGUGAGCUGCCAUGUUGGUGCUGGCAUUUGAACCUGGGUCCUCUGGAAGAGGAGUUUGCGUGCUUGUGUGCUUGCAGGAGCUCACGUGCACCACAUGCGUGCAGAUGCCGGAGGAGGGCAGAGAGUGGUGAAUUCCCUAAAACUGGCAUGGCAAGGGCCCGCGACUGCCCGAUUUGGUUCUGGGAACUGAACGCAGGACUCUGCAAGGACAUCACACCCUACCAACCGCCGAGCUAUCGCCCAGCCCUUAACAUGAAUCAUUGUUCAAUGUAAAGUGUUUAUAGGUUUGAGGUACAUGCUAGGUGUUUCAUGCCAUCACCCAGAGAUAUGCAUGUUCUAAACUGUUUCGCAAAAAAGUUUAAUACACUCUUUGAGAAAUGGAAGAAUAAAGCGUACGUUAGAUUCACGUCAAAAAAAAAAAAAAAAAAAACCAGACUCAAUGAUAAAACACAAUAAAAUAUUUUAAUAGAUAAUUCCACUUAGCUUUGCUUUCUAUAUUUUUUGGCAAAGGGUUUCUGAUUUUUAAAGGCUCAUUUUAAUUAGAUUAAAAACUCCCAGCUGGAGUGUCUGGAGGUGCUUUCCUUAGCUCCUUGAAGCUAAAUGCUCUUUUUUCCCCCACAGGUUCUAUUAGGGACUUGCGUUCUAAGGACUUGUUUACAUUUCUGUCGCCACCCCUCCGCUCUGAGCUCCUUGAACAUCUAUAACAAGUCUUGUUUAACUUUUCCCUGUUCUUUAACUCAUGGCGGAGAAGCUAGUUACUAAAAUCACUAUAAAUAAAGCGGAAGUCUGAACUCACAGCACUGACGGCCCAUAGGCGGCAAAGGAACUAGUGUUUGUAUUGUUAAAAAAGGCAUGUUCUUUGCCGAAAUGUAAUUUUUACACUUAUAAAAUUAAAAGA